rnacentral:rRNA from 1 species
GAUCAAGCUACAAAGGGCUUACGGAGGAUGCCUUGGUACAUGGCGCCGAAGAAGGACGUGACAAGCUGCGAAAAGCUACGGGGAGGAGCAAAUAUCCAAAGAUCCGUAGAUAUCCGAAUGAGGGAACUCAGCGUGGGUAAUACCACGUUAUCGUAUCCUGAAUAGAUAGGUAUACGAGGGGAACCCGGGGAACUGAAACAUCUAAGUACCAGGAGGAAAAGAAAACAACAGUGAUUCCGAAAGUAGUGGCGAGCGAAAUCGGAGGAGCCCAAACCUAAGUAAUAAUUAUUUAGGGGUACGGACCGCGAUAAAAGCACUUUAAUCUGUAGUCGAAUUAUCUGGAAAGGUAGAUCAAAGAAGGUGACAAUCCUGUAGACGAAACGGAGAGGAGGCUAAGCGGAAUCCAGAGUACGUCGGGACACGAGAAAUCCAGACGGAAGAAUUGGGGACCAUCCCAGAAGGCUAAAUACGACCGGGGCGUCCAGAAGGACAUAGUCAUAUUCCGUCCGCGCCUGAGUAAGCAUGGUGCCGAAGGCAUCGGCGUUGAUCCGCUCCGGCAGACAGUUCAUCGGGGCGGUGAGAAAAUGA